UACGGAGGGUGCAAGCGUUAUCCGGAUUCACUGGGUUUAAAGGGAGCGUAGGUGGGAAUGUAAGUCAGUGGUGAAAUCUCCGUGCUUAACACGGAAACUGCCAUUGAUACUAUGUUUCUUGAAUUUUCUGGAGGUUAGCGGAAUAUGUCAUGUAGCGGUGAAAUGCUUAGAUAUGACAUAGAACACCAAUUGCGAAGGCAGCUAACUACAGGGAUAUUGACACUGAGGCUCGAAAAGCGUGGGGGAUCAAAACAGG
rnacentral:rRNA from 1 species